GCGCAGGAGAGGGGACACAGUGGGUGGGUAUUAAAGGGAUUAGGUGUAUGAGGCAGUGUUACCCUCGCUCAGAAAGGCACGCACUUGAACUGCCAAGAAACUAAUAAUGAACUGAAACCCCAUCCAGGAAAGAGAGCAAGUCAAAACAGUGUAUUCUGCGCUCAACAUGGCUCUUCAACAAUGAGGAUACCAGCUAAUAAUUAUUGAGUGCCAACUGCAUGCCUAUUAUUCUUCUAAAUGGUCUACCUCCAUCAGCCCAGCUGCUGAUGAUGUGCAAGGUGUGGGAUCUACCUCAAUGCAGAAGAAUGAGAGAAGCUAUGUGGAAAUCCUCCGCGAACGUCAAUAUGACAUCAUCACUAAUAAACGCUUGUGAA